UACGAAGGGGGCUAGCGUUGUUCGGAAUCACUGGGCGUAAAGCGCACGUAGGCGGGUCGUUAAGUCGGGGGGGAAAUGCCAAGGCUCAACCUUGGAACUGUCUUCGAUACUGGCGAUCUCGAGUCCGGGAGAGGUGAGUGGAACUCCGAGUGUAGAGGUGAAAUUCGUAGAUAUUCGGAAGAACACCAGUGGCGAAGGCGGCUCACUGGCCCGGUACUGACGCUGAGGUGCGAAAGCGUGGGGAGCAAACAGG
rnacentral:rRNA from 1 species